rnacentral:lncRNA from 1 species
CCAGGGGCUUGGGCAACAAGAUGCUCUUCGGGAAAACCAGGGCACCUACAGGAGCAGCGUGGGCAUUAUAAAGACAUUCUGUUGAGAAAUAUUAAAAAACAAAUUCUGUCUGUACUUGGAAACCCCCUUGCCUUAAAGUGAAGUGCACUGAAGAUCAAUAUGCAAUCUUGUAUUUUUUCCUCUUGACUCUCUGAAAUCCCCAGAUCUGUCUUGUUUAUAAUUCCUUGUGAUUUGCAUCUUAUCUUUCCUCCCCAGGCCCAGCCCAGGCUGAGCUCCAUGCACCAGGAGACCUGUUCUGGCUGCUUCCUCCCCCAGCUGCCCUGGUGACUCUGCCCACUUACAGCAAGAGCUUAGUGUCAAAGAGGCAUUUGAACGUGUAACAGCCACCCUGCCCCCUUUUUUACUACCUUCAACUUUUAAGUGGUUUCUAAUUCUCCCUGGAAGUUAAGGUUCCUAAAGCCGUGGAUGAGCUUCUGAAUCCAUUCGUCACUCAUAACAGGCUGAGUUUUCUGUCAUCCUCUGGUAGAGUGUGUCCCAUUGACAGGCUAGCAGGUGUAAAUUGUCUCUCCGUUGAUUUACUUAGACAUCACACACGUUCUUUCUACCCCUCUUCAGAUCUUCUGCACUCUUCCCAGGACACCCUCCACGAAGUAUAACCAACAAGAACAUCUUCCGAUGUCACCAAAUGUCCCCCAGGAGUGAAUCUCCCCUCAUUCAGUACUACUGGGUAAAUGAUUCAGCAUUAAGGUGCUUUCCAAAGUGUUUUUGUUUUUUAAAUUCAAUUCCUAAGCCUUUGCUUAUAUCAUCCUUCUUCUUGGGGCUUAGGACCAUUUUCUUUACCUGGGCAAACCUCUGGGAAGCUGAGCCAGGCCAGACCAUGGAGGCUGACCCAAGGUCCAAGAUUGGCGAACACAGGUGAACAGUUCAGAUCUUCUACGUUGGAUUCUUAUGACAGCAGAACUCGACCAAGGCCUUGCUGUUGAUGUCAUUAGAUUCCUGGUAUUUCCAGGGCUGCGGCUUGGUCUUGCCUUCCUGCAUCCAGCACUGUGACCUCUUUCCUGUAGUUGCUUUGAGGCUCUUGUUGGAAGUGGCCAUUCAGUGCUUGACCAGUCCAUCUUCUCUCUUUGUAGCCACCACAGCCCCAUUCUACAGCCCUCCUCACCCCCACUUAGAUUUCAAGUGCCUUGGGGCCAGGAGCUAUGUUCUAUUCCACUGUUUGAUUACAUAAUUUCCUCCAUGGAACAGGGGCUGAAUCUAUAUUUUAUAAAUUGAGGAAACAUGAAAUAAAGUACCAUCUUGUAGAAUCAAGAAGAGCCCUGUGUUAGCGCUUCACACUUACCCUCUCUGCCGAUCACUCACACCUGUGUGUGCACUGACGGGCGACGGAGCUGGGGUCCUAGGAUGGGUAGUGUGUACUGGUGUGUUUUCACUCAGUGGCCUCUGGGGAUCCUGGGAAAGUCGACCUCUCAUGAGCAGAUAUUUUCCUAAGUGGAAUAAGGGAGCAUUGUCCUGAUUCUUAACAUGAUUGUGAGAGGCUUCGAAUUAUGCUUCAGAGUCUAAAAUAUAUUUAUCAGCAAAUAUGAAUCAAACUGAUGUCAUGUAGGGGUCUCUCUGUGCUGGUAAUUCCUUCCAGAGCUGAGGAAGGUCAGUUUUUUAGGCCUUCAAGGGCUCUUUGCAUCCAUAAUUUCAGCAAUACCAUGGCCGGCUCCCUGUUGAGGAUUGGAACCGAUAGAGGACCUUGACAAAGAGAAACCCAUAGAAUUAAGAAGACAGCAUCAAGCUUACAGAGUUUGAUAAGGUAGAGAUCUGCACGAUGAAUUUUUAUACAUCUUUUGGCACGUGUUUUUCCACUUUUGGAAUCAAAAUCAAACAAAGAAGCUUUUCAGGAACAAUUUUAAGGGUCUGGGGCUGUAGCUCAGUGGCAGAGCAUUUGCCUAGCAUACAGGAGGCCCCGGGUUUGAUCCCCAGCACCACAAAAAGCAAACAAAUAAAAAAUUUUAACUUUGAAGGUAUUUGCACUUAGGUUCUGAGGGGCAGAAUGAGCCUGCGGAUGAUGAAGUGGGCUUUCCUGAUUGCUCAGGACCCCAGAAUCAUGGGGAAUAUUUACAGAUGCCUGUAUUCACUGCUCUCCUCUGAAUAAAUUUUAUGUGCUUAAAAAAUGCUUUUCGAACAAUCAACCUGCAAAUUUUUACCAUGAAGCGAUAGCAUAUAGCAAAAUAGUGACACAGGACUGUCACCAGUUUCAGGUACUUGAACAUCUUUAUUUUGAUGAAUUUCUCCUCUUGAAACUGCCUCACCGAGAACCAUUUCCUUAUAAAAUUCACUUACCUGCCUGAUGCUCAGCCCAGAAGCAGCCGUGAAGUGCAUCUUUCAUUUACUUUUUUUCAAGAUUAAAAAUCAUAGCUUGAAGGUGUUUUUACUAAAUGAUGUGAAUAAUGCUAGGGAAAGAAGUGGCAACUAGUAUGCUUUUAAAAAUUAUUCCACAAAUGAGACCUUCUAUCUUGUUGGAACUAUUGACCCACUGUUAAUGGAUGACUAUAUAUUCUGGGUUUUAUAUUGGGACAGGUUUUAGCAAUCAAUAUUCUAGAAAUUAUGAGACUAUAAACUCCUCGAGUAUCUGUGUUAUUGAAGAAUAAAGCAAAAUAGACUUCAGGAAAAUAAAAGGGAUAAACAGACAACUGUUACUAUACAAAUCCUUCAUUUCCAGGGAAACAGUUAUUGCUCCCAGGAUUACGAAAGAACACGCUAUUGCCAAGUGUGUCUGAUGAAACUUGCGUUUUUCUGAAGCCUACUAAAUGGGCAAUGUACUAAUAAGAGUUGCCUCUUGAAUGUAACAUAAACUGUUAAGGUGUUAAGGUCUGAAAUGUUCUUUAAAAUUGAGCUGUUAGAAUCAAUCUUUUCUGCUUAAGGAGUUUUGGUCAACAAAUUGUAAUUAUAUAUACUUAUGAGGUACAAUGUAAUGUUUUGAUAUACGCAUAAAAUGUGUCAAGAUUAAAGCAAGCUAAUUAACAUGCUGUCACCUUGUUUACGUAGCAUUUUUUUAAAUGGUGAGACAUUUGAAGUUUACUUUUCUAGUUAUUUUGAAACAUAUAUCACUGUGAACUAUAGCCCCACCAGUCCACAAUAGAUGUCAAACCUGUCUCCUGUCUAUUUGGAACUUCGUACCCUUUGGUUGACAGUUCUGC